rnacentral:rRNA from 1 species
CAUGCAAGUCGAGCGCACGUAGCUCACGCAACUCUUGGGAGUGAGGGCAGUGGAAUGAGCGACUCACGGGUGAGUGACAGAUAAGGACCUUGCAUUAUGCAUUGUAAUGGGUGAGAGAAAUCGGAGAUGAUCCCUGAUAGUUCAUCGGUCCUCAUGGUGCAAUCAUGAAACGUUCUUCCGUGUCACUAUCAGAUGACCUUGCGUUGCAUUAGCUAGUUGGUGGGGUAACGGCUCACCAAGGCGACGAUGCAUAGCUGAUCUGAGAGGGUGAUCGGUCACACUGGGACUGAGACACGGUCCAGACUCCUACGGGAGGCAGCAGUAGGGAAUCUUCCACAAUGGACGAAAGUCUGAUGCAGCCACGCCGCGUGAGUGAUGAAGGUUUUCGGAUUGUAAAACUCUGUUGUAAGGGAGGAACGUCUGUGAGAGGAAACGCUGGUGCUUUGACGUUACCUUCCGAGUAAGCCCCGGCUAACUUCGUGCCAGCAGCCGCGGUAAUACGUAGGUGGCAAGCGUUGUUCGGAAUUAUUGGGCGUAAAGCGCGCGCAGGCGGCUUUUUAAGUUGGAGGUGAAAUCCCCGGGCUCAACCGGGGAGCGGCCUCCGGAAACUGCAAGGCUUGAGUACAGUAGAGAGGAGUGGAAUUUCACGUGUAGCGGUGAAAUGCGUAGAUGAUGUGGAGGAACACCCAGUGGCGAAGGCGACUACUCUGGUCUGAUACUGACGCUGAGGCGCGAAAGCGUGGGGAGCAAACAGGAUUAGAUACCCUGGUAGUCCACGCCGUAAACGAUGACUGCUAGGCGUUGGGGGGCUUCCGCCCCUCAUGGCUCAACCUAACCCUUUAAUUAAUCCCCCGGGGAAGUACGGCCCCAAGGUUAAAACUCAAUGGAUUUGACGGGGACCCCCCCAACCGGGGAACCAGGUGGUUUAAUUCAAACCACCGCGAAAAACCUUACUGGCUCUUGACAUCCUAUUGACC